CACGUAGGGGGCAAGCGUUGUCCGGAUUUAUUGGGCGUAAAGAGCUCGUAGGCGGUUCGGUAAGUCGGGUGUGAAACCUCCAGGCUCAACCUGGAGACGCCACCCGAUACUGCUGUGACUAGAGUCCGGUAGGGGAGCGUGGAAUUCCUGGUGUAGCGGUGAAAUGCGUAGAUAUCAGGAGGAACACCAGCGGCGAAGGCGGCGCUCUGGGCCGGUACUGACGCUGAGGAGCGAAAGCGUGGGGAUCAAACAGG
rnacentral:rRNA from 1 species